rnacentral:misc_RNA from 1 species
AAACCUCGAGCUGGCCAAAUUCUUUGGAUAAGAGGACUAACACGUUUACAAACUCAGGUAAAUGCCAAAAAAGUGCAAGUUCCUGAACAGGUACACGGCUGAGAGGUCCCACAUACUACGCAGUAGAUAAUUUCAGGAGUUAAAAUCUCUUCCAAAAGGACUUUUUGACAGUCAUAGGAAACCCCCUUCUAGGAAGCAUGCAGUCUUUAUUGGGAUAAGUGGAAAUUUGCUAAUGAUGAAUUUGAGAGUUUCAUCAUCAUCAAUCCUUCAGUUCUACGGAUUUGCCACAAAACUACAUUGCUUAUAAUAUCAGAAAAUACUUCAAAAUAAUCCAACGCCAGAACCAAAGAAACUGUAUUUAUAGAGAAUAAGUGUCCUGGUCGAUGGGUUCAGGAUUAUGGCAGCCCUACGCUACUGCAUCUGAGAGGAACAUUUUAAUGGCCAAUAAGCUGAUAAAAGUUGGUGUUGUGUGCUCGUUUAUGGCUGGAAUUCUCUGAUUCUCCCAAAACUGGCGAACAAAUCAUAACAAAAGCAGCGGCAUCAAUACAAAAGCAUAAUCUUUCUCCACUGGUGGUACCAAUAAAUCGCAGGACAUUCUCGAUAGCCUGAUAAAACCGUAAUGGUAAAGAGUGACCAUUUUCCUCUGGUCUCUGCGCGUGCGCUAACGAGGUCAUUUGGUGAGAUCGUAUGCGCUCAACAGCUCCUGUACGUCACAUUAUCAUGAGUAUCAUCGAUUCAAGAGCUACAUCUCGUUUCGAAAGAAAAAUAAAUAAAUAAAAGUAUAGAAAAUUUUAUUAUGGUCGGAGAGCAACAGCAUCAACAACUGAGUUGCUAGCUGAAUUUCAAAGGUUUCUUAAAUACCUUCCAAGUCAGCAAAAAAUUAUUUGGACACAUUUUCAGCGAAAUUAGCAUCCAUAUGAAAGACACCUACCGCAAUACUCACUUGCCACCACAACUGAAACUGUCCACAUUUCUACGCUUUCUUGCAACUGGAAGCUAUCAAAAGUCGGUGGGUAACGAAAGUGUCUCAGUAAUGGGUCAGUCGACAGUUGCAAAAAUAAUAGCGGAAUGCUUGGACAUUUUUAAGGAGCAGGAGGAAAAAUAAAACGACGUGAAAGAGCAAUUCUUCAACAAAUGUGGAAUACCUGGCGUAGUUGGCUGUGUGGACGGGACCCACAUGCGUAUAAAAGCACCCAAUUCAAACUGCAGACAUCUUUACUACAAUAGAAAGAGGUUUUAUAGCAUCAAUGUAAUGGUGAUAUGUGAUCACGAUAUGGUAAUUACAUUUGUUGACGCAAGACAUCCUGGUGCUAACCAUGACUCCUUCAUUUGGAAAACCAGUGCCGCAGAGGAACAACUUCGAUUGGCUUUCAAUAAUGGGGAGUCAAAUACCUGGAUACUAGGUAUGGAGGAGGCCCUUCGGGGUAUCCCCUGCAGCUCUUUUUGAUGACGCCGUAUAGAAAUCCAUCAGAUGUAGUACAAAGACGAUACAAUGAUAAACACUGUAAGGUUCGAAACAUCAUUGAGCGCUGUUUUGGAGUUUUGAAGAAUAGAUUCCGAUGUAUAAUUGGCUCAAGAGGGCUUCAUUAUUCCGCAGAGAAGACAACGCAAAUUGUGAAUGCAUGUUGUGCAAUUCACAACAUCUGUAUAUUUUACAAAAAUUAUUUGUCUCUCAUCCCAAUCGAAGCUGAAGAUGCUAUUGAGCCAAAUGAUGAAGACCUAGUACUUGAGGAUCUUUCUACAGUAGCAGCUAAUAUAAGAACACAAAUAGCAAACAAUUUAUAAUAAAAUUUCUCUAAGUACACUUUUAUUCACAGAAUUCAUAACAUUUCAUGCUUAUUAAUAUUAAUCCCUA